UAGGGAAUCUUCCGCAAUGGAUGCAAGUCUGACGGAGCAACGCCGCGUGAGUGAAGAAGGAUUUCGGUUCGUAAAACUCUGUUGUUAGAGAAGAACAGCGCAUAGAGUAACUGUUAUGCGUGUGACGGUAUCUAACCAGAAAGCCACGGCUAACUACGUGCCAGCAGCCGCGGUAAUACGUAGGUGGCAAGCGUUGUCCGGAAUUAUUGGGCGUAAAGAGCUUGUAGGCGGUUCGUCGCGUCUGGUGUGAAAGCCCAUCGCUUAACGGUGGGUUUGCGCCGGGUACGGGCGGGCUAGAGUGCAGUAGGGGAGACUGGAAUUCUCGGUGUAACGGUGGAAUGUGUAGAUAUCGGGAAGAACACCAAUGGCGAAGGCAGGUCUCUGGGCUGUUACUGACGCUGAGAAGCGAAAGCGUGGGUAGCAAACAGG
rnacentral:rRNA from 1 species